rnacentral:rRNA from 1 species
AGUGGGGAAUAUUGCACAAUGGGGGAAACCCUGAUGCAGCGACGCCGCGUGGGUGACGAAGUAUUUCGGUAUGUAAAGCCCUAUCAGCAGGGAAGAAGAUGACAGUACCUGACUAAGAAGCCCCGGCUAACUACGUGCC